AGAGUUUGAUCCUGGCUCAGGAUGAACGCUAGCGGCAGGCUUAAUACAUGCAAGUCGUGGGGCAGCAUGUCCCGCAGCAAUGCGGGAUGAUGGCGACCGGCAAACGGGUGCGGAACACGUACACAACCUUCCUUUUAGUGGGGAAUAGCCCGGGGAAACCCGGAUUAAUACCCCGUAACAUAAUGAAGUGGCAUCACUUUAUUAUUAUAGCAGCAAUGCGCUUUAAGAUGGGUGUGCGACUGAUUAGGCAGUUGGCGGGGUAACGGCCCAUCAAACCUACGAUCAAUAACUGGUGUGAGAGCACGACCAGUCACACGGGCACUGAGACACGGGCCCGACUCCUACGGGAGGCAGCAGUAAGGAAUAUUGGUCAAUGGACGCAAGUCUGAACCAGCCAUGCCGCGUGGAGGAUGAAGGUCCUCUGGAUUGUAAACUUCUUUUAUCUGGGAAGAAAUGCAUUUUUCUAAAAUGCUGACGUACCAGGUAAUAGACCCCU
rnacentral:rRNA from 1 species